CUACGGGGGGCUGCAGUGGGGAAUAUUGCACAAUGGAGGAAGCUCUGAUGCAGCAACGCCGCGUGGAGGAUGACACUUUUCGGAGCGUAAACUCCUUUUAUAUAGGAAGAAGAUGACGGUACUAUAUGAAUAAGCGCCGGCUAACUCCGUGCCAGCAGCCGCGGUAAUACGGAGGGCGCAAGCGUUACUCGGAAUCACUGGGCGUAAAGAGCGUGUAGGCGGAUUAAAAAGUCAGAAGUGAAAUCCUAUAGCUUAACUAUAGAAUUGCUUCUGAAACUCUUAAUCUAGAAUAUGGGAGAGGUAGAUGGAAUUUCUGGUGUAGGGGUAAAAUCCGUAGAGAUCAGAAGGAAUACCGAUUGCGAAGGCGAUCUACUAGAACAUUAUUGACGCUGAGACGCGAAAGCGUGGGGAGCAAACAGGAUUAGAUACCCGGGUAGUC
rnacentral:rRNA from 1 species